GAUGAACGCUGGCGGCGUGCCUAAUACAUGCAAGUCGAGCGAACAGACGAGGAGCUUGCUCCUCUGACGUUAGCGGCGGACGUGUGAGUAACACGUGUAUAACCUACCUAUAAGACUGGGAUAACUUCGGGAAACCGGAUCUAAUACCGGAUAAUAUAUUGAACCGCAUGGUUCAAUAGUGAAAGACGGUUGUGCUGUCACUUAUAGAUGGAUCCGCGCCGCAUUAGCUAGUUGGUAAGGUAACGGGCUACCAAGGCGACGAUGCGUAGCCGAACUGAGAGAGUGAUAGGCGGCACGAGAGGUGAGACAGGGACCAGGCUACUACGGGACGCAGCAGUAGGCAAUGUGACGCAGUGGGCGGAAGCAUGACGGAGCAGCGGCGAGUGAGUGAUGACGGUCUUGGGAGCGUGAAACUGUGUUAUUAGGGAAGAACCAAUGUGUACGUAAAUGUGGACGGAGUGACGGUAAUUAAUAAGAAAGCAACGGCUAACUACGUG
rnacentral:rRNA from 1 species